AUUGAACGCUGGCGGCAUGCCUUACACAUGCAAGUCGAACGGCAGCACGGGUGCUUGCACCUGGUGGCGAGUGGCGAACGGGUGAGUAAUACAUCGGAACAUGUCCUGUAGUGGGGGAUAGCCCGGCGAAAGCCGGAUUAAUACCGCAUACGAUCUAGGGAUGAAAGCGGGGGACCUUCGGGCCUCGCGCUAUCGGGUUGGCCGAUGGCUGAUUAGCUAGUUGGUGGGGUAAAGGCCUACCAAGGCGACGAUCAGUAGCUGGUCUGAGAGGACGACCAGCCACACUGGGACUGAGACACGGCCCAGACUCCUACGGGAGGCAGCAGUGGGGAAUUUUGGACAAUGGGCGAAAGCCUGAUCCAGCAAUGCCGCGUGUGUGAAGAAGGCCUUCGGGUUGUAAAGCACUUUUGUCCGGAAAGAAAUCCUGGGCCCUAAUACGGUCGGGGGAUGACGGUACCGGAAGAAUAAGCACCGGCUAACUACGUG
rnacentral:rRNA from 1 species